AGGGAGAUAGCUCAGGGGUGGAGUGCUGGCCUUGCGGGUCUGAGGCUGCAGGUUUGAGCCCAGCUCCUUCUU
rnacentral:tRNA from 1 species